UACGUAGGGUCCAAGCGUUAUCCGGAAUCACUGGGCGUAAAGCGUGCGUAGGUGGGUAAUUAAGUGCGAUGCGAAAUCCUGUGGCUCAACCAUACGGACUGUACCGCAUACUGAUUACCUAGAGGAUAUGAGAGGCAAGUGGAAUUACCGGUGUAGCAGUGAAAUGCGUAGAGAUCGGCAGGAACACCAGUGGCGAAGGCGGCCACCUAGCCCGCACCUGACGCUGAGGCGCGACAGCGUGGGGAGCGAACUGG
rnacentral:rRNA from 1 species